UGAUAAGUGUAUUUUUUUUUUUUAUCACUUCCGGUGAAGCUCUCAAAGUGUUAGCAUAUCGUUUCGCACUAGUGCGAUAAAAUUUUGUGUAUUUCUGUUCGCGGAAGAAAAAUUUUUUCUCGUCCUAGAGUGGAUCCGUGUGGCGACGCCGCGAAACAUCAUCGGGAGCCAAUGUAAAAGAAUUUACAAUCGAAAAAUAUAAAAUAAUCGAAAAUAAUAAUACAACCAAACAUAACCUACAAGAAAAUAAAUGAACAACACGUGCAAAAAACACAAUCGAAUUAAAACACAAAACUAAAUUAUAAACAAACAAUACAAAGGCAAGAUGGGCCAUUACUGGCCUUAGCCUGUCACGUUAGUGACACAGCAAAUAAAAAAAAAAAAAAAAAAGUGUAUUUUGUAAAACCAAGGUUUAAGCUUAAGUUCUUUUAAUAUGUUAUAAUGUUCUUCUAUGCGAUUUUUGCUGGUUCCUAACUUGGCAGCAUGAUCGGCUCGAUCGUUUUCAAUAAGAGUAAUGUGACCUGGUAUCCACUGGAUUAUCAGAUUAUUUAAGUUUGAACUAUUUAUCAGUUGGAAUAUUUUGCAAACAAGGAUGGCGACUAUUUCUGCGUUCAUAAUUGUGAACUGAGCUUUAAGACGACCGCUAUAAGAUGUUUUUUCUGAGCAAACAUAUAUUCCAUACCCAGUUUUAUCAUUUAUUUUGGACCCAUCUGUAAAUAUUUUGUAUUUAUCCGCGUAUUCAUUAUCUAUUAGUUUGAGAACCAUUUGUUUUUGCACAUUGAUAGGUGUGUUCGAUUUUGUAAGUCCUUUUAUUUCAGAUAUUACUGUUAUCUUGCUUGAUUUCUCAAACUGUACUAUUUUUCCUAGUUGUAGUAUGUGAUGAUUGUUAAUAUAUGUUAUUUUUUCUAGAAAAGAACUGUGUUGGUUUAUAGAAUCUAGGUAUAAGAAUUCUGCUAAAAAUGGUAUUAUCGGAUUGGUUUUGUAAUAAAAUAUUUUUGUGAUUUCUUUGAAUGCUAA